rnacentral:lncRNA from 1 species
UAGUACGCUCUGCCAACCGUGCACAACAUAGUUUACUCAAAUGGUCUCUUUAAAAAUACUCCCCCUCUCCACCCCUCCAGUAUCCCAAGAACGCAUUUGGAGUCCGCUGCCAUGCCAAGAUAUUUUGCUGGACUCUCUUGCCCCGUGUUUUAUUUCUACGUGCGCUAAUACCAGCUUUUGCCUAGUACUUCAGAUGUGGUCUCUCAGGGGGCAGUGCCUCUAAAUCAACCUCCACAUUAACCAGGGGCUGCUGACAGAUGGCAAAUGAGGGCCGACGUUCUCCGGUCUGCGCCUUACAUCCCGUGAGCUCUGGCCUUGGCCACUGUCUGUGGUUGUGACGUUUGGCUUAUGGCACCGUGAUUUCCUGACCGUGGGCUCUUCUUAACACCAGUGAUAAGCCUCGUCCAGCCCUUGACAGUCCCGGAUCUCUAUCUGGUAGCUUCUGCACGCCGAUGGACUUUGGCUGACAUCAGGCAGUCUGGAAUUUUAACCUUGGUGUUUUUCAUAUUUUCAUUUCCUUCCCGGCAGAUCUAAGCAACUGCUGGCCUGCUUCUGUCCAUCAGCCAUGACCAUUCCUUCGGGGGGUGUUUGUCACUCCAGCAAGAAGUUGGUGAAAGACAAGUCCUAAGUGAUUAACAAACUGGAGGCUUAUGAUUGGUCCCUGGCAUUCCUUGAUGGAGCUGCCCUCGCGCCCGGCUCGCGACUGCGAACUGAUGGACGAGAUCCGGCGGGAGCGGAGGGCUGAGGUCUGGGGCUGCCUCACGCUCACAAGCCGGGCCAGCAGUCAGCAGCAGUGCUGGAGCACCGCAGACGCCCUGAGGAACAUUCACCGGAUCAUCAUAAUUGAUUCAGGAUUGAGAAUGAUCACUUCAUCUGAAACUGUGAGCAUCAGAUUUUGAAAUUUUAGUAAGGACAUAUGGUGCAUAUGUGACAUAUAAUGUAAUAUCUCUAGAUGGUUCCAGGGCAGCACCCUAUAUUCAAAUAUAUGAAUAUUUUUUCAGCAAAAUGUAUGAAUAUUCACACCAAGUAAGAUAAACAACAACAGCAAUAAAAGAAACUGGUGGAGACCUUGAAGAGAGUGU